rnacentral:ribozyme from 13 species
UUUUUUUUUUUUUUUUUUUUUUUUUUUUUUUUUUUUUUUGAU